rnacentral:rRNA from 1 species
AGACGGAGGAUCCGAGCGUUAUCCGGAUUUAUUGGGUUUAAAGGGAGCGUAGGUGGAUUGUUAAGUCAGUUGUGAAAGUUUGCGGCUCAACGGUAAAAUUGCAGUUGAAACUGGCAGUCUUGAGUACAGUAGAGGUGGGCGGAAUUCGGGGUGGUACGGUGAAAUGCUUAGAUAUCACGAAGAACUCUGAUUGCGAAGGCAGCUCACUAGACUGUUACUGACACUGAUGCUCGAAAGUGUGGGUAUCAAACAGGAUUAGAUACCCUGGUAGUCCACACAGUAAACGAUGAAUACUCGCUGUUUGCGAUAUACAGUAAGCGGCCAAGCGAAAGCAUUAAGUAUUCCACCUGGGGAGUACGCCGGUAACGGUGAAACUCAAAUGAAUUGACGGG